AGCUUAUUUGAAGGAAGCAGUCUCCUAAUAAAUGGAACUGAUGGCUAAUCGGAAUUAAAAGUGAAUGGGGGCAAUUCCAGAGGAAAAGACCGCAUCAAAUAUUUGGCCUUAAAAGACUUGACACAGGAGAGUGACUAUUUCAGUGAGAGGGACUAAACAUAGGGUGAGGGCAGACCCAGGGCUGAGAAACACAGGAAGGAGCUGCACCAGCUUGCAGGGCCUCCAUUAUUGGCAUGCAAACUGCCUGUGGCUGUUUUUCCACCUGGGGUUUGACUCAUUUGUAUUUCUUUUUCUCUUAUGAAGUGUGCUGUGAAAGACUUCUCCUGAUAUUUUGGUAAUUACUUGUUUCCACAGAAAUGAUGUAAAUAUUGAGGCCAGAAUAUCAAGAGGAGAGAAUCAGGGCAGCAAGAGAGAUGUGAAACAGAGCACCAAGUCAAGUAGAAGCCAUCCUCCCGGAAUGAUGACUUACAAAAGCUAAAGGCAGGGAAAGAGCCAGGAGGGAGGUGGCUUAGCAGAAUUUGUUCACAUUCCGGUGACACGGCUUGAUCUCCUCUGUGCUCUCAUUUCCAACGAAAUCUUAGAAGCUGAUAAGGGCUUGUCACUAAUGAAAACUUUGGCUGAAUUGGAGGGAACUAGGAGCCUAAAGAAAGUCGGAGACAGAAAUUCCUACAAAUGCAAGGCCAUAAUUGCUUAAUUGGGACUGACACAUCUCUGUUUGGCUUUCCCAGCACUGCAAGUCUGGAUAUUUAGCACUGGGAAGUCAAAAUGCCUGGAAAAAAAAUAAAUAUCCAGUCUUCAAAUAUCUGGUCUGCA
rnacentral:lncRNA from 1 species